rnacentral:rRNA from 1 species
AUUGAACGCUGGCGGCAUGCCUUACACAUGCAAGUCGAACGGCAGCGGACCUUCGGGUGCCGGCGAGUGGCGAACGGGUGAGUAAUAUAUCGGAACGUACCUUUCAGUGGGGGGAUAACGUAGCGAAAGUUACGCUAAUACCGCAUAUUCUGUGAGCAGGAAAGCAGGGGAUCGCAAGACCUUGCGCUGAUUGAGCGGCCGAUAUCAGAUUAGCUAGUUGGUGAGGUAAAGGCUCACCAAGGCGACGAUCUGUAGCGGGUCUGAGAGGAUGAUCCGCCACACUGGAACUGAGACACGGUCCAGACUCCUACGGGAGGCAGCAGUGGGGAAUUUUGGACAAUGGGCGCAAGCCUGAUCCAGCAAUGCCGCGUGUGUGAAGAAGGCCUCGGUUGUAAGUACGACUUU